CCUACGGGUGGCUGCAGUGAGGAAUAUUGGUCAAUGGACGCGAGUCUGAACCAGCCAUGCCGCGUGCAGGAUGACGGCUCUAUGAGUUGUAAACUGCUUUUAUAAGAGAGUAAACCCCGAUACGUGUAUCUGUUUGCAUGUACCGUACGAAUAAGGAUCGGCUAACUCCGUGCCAGCAGCCGCGGUAAUACGGAGGAUCCGAGCGUUAUCCGGAUUUAUUGGGUUUAAAGGGUGCGUAGGCGGGUGGAUAAGUUAGAGGUGAAAUGUUGGGGCUCAACCACGAAAGUGCGUCGAAUACUGUUGGACUUGAGUAUAGUUGAGGUAGGCGGAAUGUGUGGUGUAGCGGUGAAAUGCUUAGAGAUCACGAAGAACACCGAUUGCGAAGGCAGCCUGCCAAACCAUAACUGACGUUGAGGCUCGAAAGCGUGGGUAGCGAACAGGAUUAGAUACCCGUGUAGUC
rnacentral:rRNA from 1 species